rnacentral:rRNA from 1 species
UUGACCUCGGAUCAGGUAGGGAUACCCGCUGAACUUAAGCAGAGAGAAUAAGGCGGAGGA